CGUAAACACCAUUUCCGCCGGCAGCUGUAGAGUUGUGGACGGAGUGGGGUCAGUGAGGGCCUGGGUUUAGACAAGGCGAAGAUCAAAUGCCGGCUUUUUCUGGCUGUGUUCCUUUGGGCUGGGUAAUUAACCCCUCUGUACUUCAGCAUUGUAAAACGGAGAUUAAAAAAAAAAUAUCUACCUUCUAGGACAGUUGUACCUAAUGAAAUCAAAAGGACUUUAAUAAAUGGUAAUUACUAUUUUCAUAAUAAUAAUUAUUAAUGUUUUGGGAGGUGAGGUGGGUGGUCAGGAAGGGAUUCCAAGAAGGGAUUUUAAGACAGACUCACGGUGUUAGAGAUGAACUAACCCAGUUACUUCAUUUUACAGAUGGGGAAACUGAGGCCCAGCAGAUGGCCGAGCUUGAGUAUGGGUGGAAUGCAGAUAUAACGGAUGGAGUCAAGCAGCUGUCUUGGACGAUGAGGUGGGAAGCGAGAAAGGUAAGGCAGUAAGAGAAAAGUACCUUGGGUCUCUGUUGAUUGUAAAGCUGACGUAUCAGUCUGGACUGCUUGCCU
rnacentral:lncRNA from 1 species